AUUGAACGCUGGCGGCAGGCCUAACACAUGCAAGUCGAGCGGAUGAGAGGAGCUUGCUUCUCGAUUCAGCGGCGGACGGGUGAGUAAUGCCUAGGAAUCUGCCUGGUAGUGGGGGACAACGUUUCGGAAGGAACGCUAAUACCGCAUACGUCCUACGGGAGAAAGCAGGGGACCUUCGGGCCUUGCGCUAUCAGAUGAGCCUAGGUCGGGAUUAGCUAGUUGGUGAGGUAAUGGCUCACCAAGGCGACGAUCCGUAACUGGUCUGAGAGGAUGAUCAGUCACACUGGAACUGAGACACGGUCCAGACUCCUACGGGAGGCAGCAGUGGGGAAUAUUGGACAAUGGGCGAAAGCCUGAUCCAGCCAUGCCGCGUGCGUGAAGAAGGUCUUCGGAUUGUAAAGCACUUUAAGUUGGGAGGAAGGGUUGUAGAUUAAUACUCUGCAAUUUUGACGUUACCGACAGAAUAAGCACCGGCUAACUCUGUGCCAGCAGCCGCCGUAACAC
rnacentral:rRNA from 1 species